rnacentral:rRNA from 1 species
AGAAUCAACGCUGGCGGCGUGCCUAACACAUGCAAGUCGAACGAGAAAGGGGAGCAAUCCCUGAGUAUAGUGGCGCACGGGUGAGUAACACGUGAAUAAUCUACCUCCGAGUGGGGAAUAACUGAGAGAAAUCUUAGCUAAUACCGCAUAACACUUACGAGUCAAAGCAGCAAUGCGCUUGGAGAGGAGUUCGCGGCCGAUUAGUUAGUUGGCGGGGUAAUGGCCCACCAAGACGAUGAUCGGUAUCCGGCCUGAGAGGGCGCACGGACACACUGGAACUGAAACACGGUCCAGACUCCUACGGGAGGCAGCAGUGGGGAAUUUUGCGCAAUGGGGGAAACCCUGACGCAGCAACGCCGCGUGGAGGAUGAAGUAUCUCGGUACGUAAACUCCUUUCGAUGGGGAAGAUAAUGACGGUACCCAUAGAAGAAGCCCGGCUAACUUCGCGCCAGCAGCCGC